UGAGGAAUAUUGGGCAAUGGGCGCAAGCCUGACCCAGCAACGCCGCGUGGAGGAAGACGGCCUUCGGGUUGUAAACUCCUUUUACGGGGGAAGAGGAAGGACGGUACCCCGAGAAUAAGUCACGGCUAACUACGUGCCAGCAGCCGCGGUAAUACGUAGGUGACAAGCGUUAUCCGGAAUUACUGGGCGUAAAGCGCACGCAGGCGGUGCGAUAAGUCUGACGUGAAAUCUCCUGGCUUAACUAGGAGGGGUCGUUGGAAACUGUCGUGCUUGAGGCGAUGAGAGGGGUGUAGAAUUCCCGGUGUAGUGGUGGAAUGCGUAGAUAUCGGGAGGAAUACCAGUGGCGAAAGCGGCACCCUGGCAUUAGCCUGACGCUCAUGUGCGAAGGCGUGGGGAGCGAACGGGAUUAGAUACCCCGGUAGUCCACGCGGUAAACGAUGAAUACUAGGUGUGGGUGAGUGAAAUCCAUCUGUGCCGAAGCAAACGCGAUAGUAUUCCG
rnacentral:rRNA from 1 species